CUAUCCUCUCGCUCUCACUCUCUACCUUAGAGGUCGAGGGGGAAGAAGGUAGAUGGAGGACGAGAGGGUAAAGGAGGGGGCUCUCCGGACCCUCGGCCUAUUCCAAGUCCUGCCUAGGCUGGUCGUAUUCGAUCUCGAUUACACCCUUUGGCCCUUCUACUGGUCAGCAUAAUCCACAUUUGCCUUGACACUCAAUUUGGGUUGGUCGUCGGGGACAGAGAGAGAGGCCCGACUUCCAUGCUGUUUGGUCCCAAGUUUUUGUCCAAGCUUUACAAGCUCAGCCCACCCGAGGAUCUCACGCUGGCGAUGACCCUCGCGAGGCCUUCUUCCUUAUUCCUCGAAGACCUCGUGUCCAUGCCGCCCUUCUCCGAGUCAGGAUACGGGUCGGUCGAGAAGGUCUACGUCGUGUGCGCUCAGGAUGAAGGCAUCAGCGAAGGGUUUCAGCGCUGGAUGAUCAAGAAUGACCCAGUGAAAGUGGUGAAGGAGAUGGAGGAUGCUGACCAUAUGGCCGGCCAUGUUCUCAACACCGAAACAGCUCUUCCAAUGCCUCUCUGAUGUUGUCGAUGCCAGUGCUUGAUCACGUGUUAGCUACCUCUUACUUUUCUGUCUCUCCAUCACCUAACUUCUACUUUUAUCGAUGCCUCCUUUUCCUUCUCCUUUACCUUUUCGCAGACCAAUCGAUGGGGAUGGUCGUCCAGGAAUAAAGUUCGUUGACGUCUGCCCAUUAGUAAUGCCGAGUGGCAAUUAGGAAUAAUAUUGGUCGGGCGUGUCCAUUGUCCAUUCCAAUGAUAGCAGCAGAUGUGUUUCAUGCGUAA